CACGUAGGGCGCAAGCGUUGUCCGGAAUUAUUGGGCGUAAAGAGCUCGUAGGUGGUUUGUUACGUCUGCUGUGAAAUCCUAGGGCUUAACCCUGGGCUUGCAGUGGAUACGGGCGGACUAGAGGUAGGUAGGGGAGAAUGGAAUUCCUGGUGUAGCGGUGAAAUGCGCAGAUAUCAGGAGGAACACCGGUGGCGAAGGCAGCUCGCUGGGACGGUACUGACGCUGAGGCGCGAAAGCGUGGGGAGCAAACAGG
rnacentral:rRNA from 1 species